UACGUAGGGUGCAAGCGUUGUCCGGAUUUAUUGGGCGUAAAGAGCUCGUAGGCGGUUUGUCGCGUCUGCUGUGAAAACGCGAGGCUCAACCUCGCGCCUGCAGUGGGUACGGGCAGACUAGAGUGCGGUAGGGGAGAUUGGAAUUCCUGGUGUAGCGGUGGAAUGCGCAGAUAUCAGGAGGAACACCGAUGGCGAAGGCAGAUCUCUGGGCCGUAACUGACGCUGAGGAGCGAAAGCGUGGGGAGCGAACAGG
rnacentral:rRNA from 1 species